AGAAUCAGACCACAUAGAAUGCAUUUACACAAGGCAGCCCACCUGCAGUUGGCUGGAGCAGAGGGACAGCCUGAAGCUGCUUUAAGCCUGGCACCAGCCACCAGUUCACCAAGGCCCCAUCCACUCUACCACACUGGCUGUGUAUCCUUUCUGACUUCACUCAUUGCACGGAUGGGGAAACUGAUGUUAGAGGGGCAGAGGAUUGUCCAGAUACCCACAGACCAGGUUCACGGGACAGAACUGGGACGGGGAAGGAACCAGGUCUCCCAGCUGUCAGUCCUGUGCUCAUCCCUGACCCUACACAAUUGUCCUGGAAUCAUUUUAAGAGGAGGCUGCCCUGUGUGUGGAAGACACCUCUCUACCCCUUGGAAGCAUCUGUACGUCGGCCUCUCAGCCCCCACUACCAAGUGCUUGUUUCCCAACUCACAAUCCUGCAGGAGGACAGUGUAACUCAGAGGCUCCAGCAAAUGAGUCCACACCCAAACAGAUAUUUUAAAUAUCCUGAUAAUUACAGAAUGAAGGAGUAGGCAGAGGUCUCCUCUCCCAUCCUGCAGAAGGGCCGACUGAAGCUGGAAUAGAUUUAGAAAGCCAAAGGUCAGCUGCAGGGAGCUGCGUCACCCUUUCUUGAUCCCCAGCUCUCUUUCAAGGAAA